rnacentral:ncRNA from 1 species
AUAAAUAGGCAAAUCUACCGCAAGAUAGAGACGCAAAACUACAGGGUCCCACGGGGAUAGCCAGUUGCAA